GCGGGUCUAUAACCAGCGCGGCACCGCCGAGCAGCACAUCAAGGAAGGUAAAUAUGCCUUCCACUGGACGCGGCUGUCAUGCCGGAAGUUCCGCGACAAUGAGGUGCGACUGCAACUGCAUGCGCUGGCCUACAACCUGGCCAUCUUCUUGCGCUGCAUCGAGUUGCCCGAGACGAUGGCCGACUGGUCGUUGACCAGCCUGCAACUGAAGCUGAUCAAGAUCGGGGCACGUGUCGUCCGCCAUGCCCGCGCCAUCACCUUCCAGCUGGCCGAGGUGGCCGUCACCGGUCCGAUGGUCCGCGCCAUCCUCGCCGCCAUCCGCCGAUUGCGAGCGCCUCCGCUAUGCGCAUGACCGCCAUCCACGCCCAAACUGAACGAAAACGGCAGGAUGGGUCUGUCCGCUGCGCUGAAAAACACCGCCACCAGGGCACAACACGGCGGCUUCGCGGGCCGAUCUGCCCUGUCUCAGCGCCUUGCGCGCCCGACGACGCCGCUCGGGACGGAAAAUGAUUGUCCUGCGGUCGGAUUCAGGCGAAACUCACGUCAGACGGCAUGCCACUUGGGGAAUGUAUGCUUAGUAUGCCCGCGAACAUCUGAUAGGCGCUGGUCCCGUCAUGGCUGUUGACGAUGAUGACUUCGGCGG
rnacentral:misc_RNA from 1 species